GAUCCGCUGAGCCGCAGGUGCAGGCAGUAGAGGCAGUAGCUGCUGUCCAGUCGGUAGCCGACGCGCGGAUCCAGCAAGAGCCAGCGGCUGCGCUUCGGCUACUGCAGAUUGGGGUCUUGCUGUGUCGCUCAGGCUGGAGUGCAGUGGCGUGAUCACAGGUCACUGCAGCCUUGAACUCCUGGGCUUCAGGGAUCUUCUCAUCUCAGUCUCCUAAAUAGCUGGGACUACAGGCUCAGGCCACCAUGCCUGCUUAUAGAAGAGUAUGGCUCACAGAAAAAUACAUCUUCUGCAAAGAAAACACAGUCAUGUAGAGAACUUUUCCAUCCCCAGUCUGGACCCAGUUCCUAGGAAACAAGUUGUUUCAACUCUCAUUGGAGGAAGUAUAAGGUGAUCUCAGGGAAGGGGAGAAGGGCUGGUUGCCUGCCAAAUCUAUGAUCAAGACGGCUCCACACUUUGCUUCCACUUAUAAGUGAGAACAUACAGUGUUUGAUUUUUCAUUCCUGAGUUACUUCACCUAGAAUAAUGGCCUCCAGCUCCGUCCAAGUUGCUGCAGAAGACAUUAUUUCAUUCCUUUAUUGGCUGAGUAGUAUUCCAUGUCCAGUGAUUCAAGUUUGACACACCACACCACAGUGGAUGUGCCUUGUCAUGACACAACUUCUCAGCAGCACUAGAAGAUACAUCCGAAGUCCUGUGAGCAAGGACACAGCGAGAAGAUGGCUGUCUACAAGCCAGGGAGAGAGUCCUCACCAGAACCAAACCCUGCUGGACUUUGAUCUUGGACUUCCCAGCCUCUAAAACUGUGAAGACAUAAAUUUCUGUUGUUUAACCCACACAGGUAUGUGGUAUCUGUUUAUUAUGGCAGCCCAGUAAGACUAAGACAGGCCAUCACAAGACGUGAACGUUUUGGACCUUCUCUUGGGCCCUAGUAAACAGAAAUCAGGUACACAAAAGGAGUAAGCAUAUAUUUUCCUUUAUUUUUAUUUUUAAUGUGUAAGCCUUAGGUUUUUAUUUAUUUAUUUGCCAAAGACAAUCACAUUGUAUAUGUACAAUGUAAUUAUAUUGUUGAUGAGAACUUAUUUAAAAUUUUUUAAAAAUUCUAAUUGAUUUCUAGAUGUUCAAAUGACAAGAUAGCAUUUAUAUACCAUAAGAACAUAAAAUAAUUCAAAAAAGUAAAUUUAUAAAACAAUA
rnacentral:antisense_RNA from 1 species